CCUACGGGGGGCAGCAGUGAGGAAUAUUGGUCAAUGGGAGAGAGCCUGAACCAGCCAAGCCGCGUGAGGGAAGACGGCCCUAUGGAUUGUAAACCUCUUUUGUCGGGGAACAAAACCCGGGACGUGUGCCGGACUGCGAGUAUCCGAAGAAAAAGCAUCGGCUAACUCCGUGCCAGCAGCCGCGGUAAUACGGAGGAUGCGAGCGUUAUCCGGAUUUAUUGGGUUUAAAGGGUGCGUAGGGGGUCCGUUAAGUCAACGGGAAAAUUGCGGGGCUCAACCCCGUCGAGCCGUUGAAACUGGCUGCCUUGAGUUGGCGAGAAGUACGCGGAAUGCGCGGUGUAGCGGUGAAAUGCAUAGAUAU
rnacentral:rRNA from 1 species